GCGGAUGUGGCGAAAUUGGUAGACGCACUAGACUUAGGAUCUAGCGGGGCGACCCAUGGGAGUUCGAGUCUCUUCAUCCGCA
rnacentral:tRNA from 1 species